UACGUAGGGGGCGAGCGUUAUCCGGAAUUACUGGGCGUAAAGCGCACGUAGGCGGCUUUGUAAGUUAGAGGUGAAAGCCCGGGGCUCAACCCCGGAAUUGCCUUUAAGACUGCAUCGCUUGAAUCCGGGAGAGGUGAGUGGAAUUCCGAGUGUAGAGGUGAAAUUCGUAGAUAUUCGGAAGAACACCAGUGGCGAAGGCGGCUCACUGGACCGGUAUUGACGCUGAGGUGCGAAAGCGUGGGGAGCAAACAGG
rnacentral:rRNA from 1 species